rnacentral:rRNA from 1 species
GACAGAGGAUGCAAGCGUUAUCCGGAAUGAUUGGGCGUAAAGCGCGCGUAGGCGGCCCUUCAAGUCGGGCGUGAAAGCCCCGGGCUCAGCCCGGGAAGGGCACUCGAAACUGCCGAGCUGGAGUGCCGGAGGGGAGAGUGGAAUUCCCGGUGUAGUGGUGAAAUGCGUAGAUAUGCGGAGGAACACCGAUGGCGAAGGCAAUCCCCUGGGCCUGCACUGACGCUCAUGCACGAAAGCGUGGGGAGCAAACAGG